CGGGCUCGUCAGAGUCGUGAAAGGAAAAAGAGGAUUCUGCUAGUCCUUGGUGAGUAAACGCAGUCCUGAUGUCUAGAAGUUAUUUUCGGUCAUAAGAGACGGUAGCGGCAACAUUAUGUACAAAAUAAGUUACAAACAACAAAAUAAGCGAACAAAUAAACACAAUCGGCUGGGGUGACGUAAAAUGUCUGCCUUCUUCUCCGGCGCCAUCUUAAUGGUCAUCAUAACAUGGUCAUCAUUACCUGAUUGCCAGUCUGUUUCUGCUUGACAAUGGAGUAGGCAAGAGCACUAACUGAUCUGGGACCAUGCUAACCAAUGUGGUCUCAUGACAGCCCAGUUAGUAUGAUAUGUAAUGUUGUGUUCAGUGGCAUAGCCAGACAUUCUUUGGUGGGUGGGCUGGCAGAAAUAAAGAUUAAAAUGUGCUGUUUUGAACAUUUAGAAUUUUUAAAGCUAAUUAAAGCUCAAAUAUACACUAAGAGGCCAGUUUAUUGGGCCUAGCUCGAGCCUGGGGAGCCAUGACGAAUUGGAUGAAGUAAUUGAUUAUAUAUCGCGGACGUAAGGUAUUGCAUGUCUUUAUCUGAGACCAGGUUGCUUGUUGUGCAGUAAGAAGGAAGGAACAUUUUACAUUGGCGGUUAGAAUUAAAACGACAAAGGAGAACAUCGUUCUGAGAGAAGCCUUACUUGACAUACAGACUAGAUCCAUGAGAGAGAAUCUGGUACUUACAGGUAUCCAAGAGACAGAAGGAGAAGUUCCUGAAUCUGUUGUUAGACAGUUCCUCCUUACAGCGCUUCAGAUUCCACCCGAAACUAUCGACAAAAUCCAACUCGAACAUGUACACCGCUUCGGACAGAGAGGGCAGAGGUAUGAACACCCAAUCGUUGCAAAAUGUGCUUUCCUUAAGAUAAAAUACUGGUUAAAAGCCUGGGUGAAAGACUUGCUUGCACGAAAAUAGGCAUGAAUGACCAGUUCCCGAAGGAAAUUGCAGAACGGCGUAAAGUUUUGUUUUCAACUGUCAAGGAAAAUAGAUUGCAAAGGAAACGCGUAGCUCUCGUCGUCGAUAAACUGUAUAUUGAUAACCAGUUGUUCAGAGACACAAAGACUACUCAAUGGCUAUUUUCAAAAUUACAAAGUUGUCAUAGAGGAGGCAAAUAAGGAAACACUAGCCCGGUUAUGGAUUGUAAUAAUACAGCAAAAAAAUAUAGCUUUUCUAUCUAUCUUCAAAUACAACUAAUUGGAACACUAAAGCACUAAUUCAACAUGGUGGAGAUAAAAACUCAGUAAACAGAAGGCACAGUAUGGAUGGAUGGAUGGUGUGGUGUGUGUUUUUUGGUGUUUGGGAAAGUGUGGCGUUGAGUGAGAAAGGAAAUGGUUGCAUUUCCCAGAACCAAUGUAUUGCUGUGAGCAGGGGUUGUGAGAGAGCUUUCAAUGUUGUUCAGAUGAGGGACAUACAUUUUAUAAUGAAUUAUACAUCAUAUUUAUUUAUUGUCCUAUCAUGGUUGAACAGCGUUUUAAAAUAAAUUAUACAUAUAAUGUAUUUAUCGUCCUAUCAUGGGGAUCCCGGUGGGCUGCCCGCACCCAGGCAGUGGCAGUGCUGGCAACACUAGCUGCAAUAACCCAUGGGGAGGGGGUCACACUCGGAUAUUCAGAGAGGGGGCAUAUUAUUGUGGCACAAAAUCAAAGGUCUGACUGCACGGAGAUGCUUGGGAAUAUGGUCAAUACGGAGGACCAUGUUGUGGGUGUUUCAUGUGAAGGGGGUAUAUCUGAUCUCCAUCAUCUGGGACAUGACAACGGUAAAUCAAAUCUCCCCAUUUCUGCCCAUUUCUUUGGCACAGUUUUACAGGCCUUCUCAUACAGCUGCAACUGUAUAUGCAUUCAUAAAUCAAGACCUUUCUUGAGUUGGGCUCUGAGAUGGUGCAAAUGUUGAGAAUUUGAGUCUAUGGUUGUUGUGGGGGAAAGGGGUUGAGUGUGUGGGUGGGUGUGUAUCCCACAACUGUUGUGAGGGAGUAAAAGAUGUUAGGGACAAUAUAGGAUGAUUCAAAAUAAUUGUUUGCUAAUAUAAUAAUUGCUUGCCAUAAUGUAAUUUUGGUAAUGGCGAGACUGGUGAGAGGUACAAAUCCUUAGCAUAAAUUGCCAACAUUACUACAAAUAUCAAUAGCUAAUUAUGGAAAAUAAGAAACAGGAUUUUUUAAAUGUAUAUACAGUUGAAGAGGAAGUUUACAAACACCUUAUCCAAAUACAUUUAAACUCAGUUUUUCACAAUUCCUGACAUUUAAUCCUAGUAAUAAUUCCCUGUCUUAGGUCAGUUAGGAUCACCACUUUAUUUUAAGAAUGUGAAAUGUCAGAAUAAUAGUAGAGAUUGAUUUAUUUCAGCUUUUCUUUUUUUCAUCACAUUCCCAGUGGGUCAGAAGUUUACAUACACUCAAUUAGUAUUUGGUAGCAUUGCCUUUAAAUUGUUGAACUUGGGUCAAACAAUUCGGGUAGCCUUUCACAAGCUUCCCACAAUAAGUUGGGUGAAUUUUGUCCCAUUCCUCCUGACAGAGCUGGUGUAACUGAGUCAGGUUUGUAGGCCUCCUUGCUCGCACAUGCUUUUUCAGUCCUGCCCACACAUUUUCUAUAGGAUUGAGGUCAGGGCUUUGUGAUGGCCACUCCAAUACCUUGACUUUGUUGUCCUUAAGCCAUUUUGCCACAACUUUGGAAGUAUGCUUGGGGUCAUUGUCCAUUUGGAAGACCCAUUUGCGACCAAGCUUUAACUUCCUGACUGAUGUCUUGAGAUGUUGCUUCAAUAUAUCCACAUAAUUUUCCAUCCUCAUGAUGCCAUCUAUUUUGUGAAGUGCACCAGUCCCUCUUGCAGCAAAGCACCCCCACAGCAUGAUGCUGCCACCCCCGUGCUUCACGGUUGGGAUGGUGUUCUUCAACUUGCAAGCGUCCCCCUUUUUCCUCCAAACAUAACGAUGGUCAUUAUGGCCAAACAGUUCUAUUUUUGUUUCAUCAGCAGAUGACAUUUCUCCAAAAAGUACGAUCUUUGUCACCAUGUGCAGUUGCAAACCUUAGUCUUGCUUUUUGAUGGCGGUUUUGGAGCAGUGGCUUCUUCCUUGCCGAGCAGCCUUUCAGGUUAUGUCGAUAUAGGACUCGUUUUACUGUGGAUAUAGAUACUUUUGUACCUGUUUCCUCCAGCAUCUUCAUAAGGUCCUUUGCUGUUGUUCUGGGAUUGAUUUGCACUUUUUGCAAAAGUACGUUCAUCUCUAGGAGACAGAACACUUCUCCUUCCUGAGCAGUAUGACGGCUGCGUGGUCACAUGGUGUUUAUACUUGCGUACUAUUGUUUGUACAGAUGAACGUGGUACCUUCAGGCGUUUGGAAAUUGCUCUCAAGGAUGAACCAGACUUGUGUAUUUUUAUUUUCUGAGGUCUUGGCUGAUUUCUUCUGAUUUUCCCAUGAUGUCAAGCAAAGAGGCACUGAGUUUAAAGGUAGGCCUUGAAAUACAUCCACAGGUACACCUCCAAUUGACUCAAAUGAUGUCAAUUAGCCUAUCAGAAGCUUCUAAAGCCAUUACAUCAUUUUCUGGAAUUUUUCAAGCUGUUUAAAGGCACAGUCAUCUUAAUGCAUGCAAACUUCUGACCCACUGGAAUUGUGAUAUAGUGAAUUAUAAGUGAAAUAAUCUGUCUGUAAAAAAUUGUUGGAAAAAUGAAUUGUGUCAUGCACCAAGUGUUCUAUGGGUGGCACUGUGUGCUCUUUUCGAAGGAUGGGUCCCGGGUCUCUCCGGGGCUAUGGGGUCGGGGGUGUCGGGCAUUGGGAUGACAACUCAACUCGGGAUGAGGAGGGCUUUUAGCGGGUGGAAUAAUGGGGAUGAAUUGGAGGUUUACUUAGUAGCAAUGCAGAUAUCAUUGUACAGCUAUAUAGACACUUACUUUUUAAUGGUAUGUUUACAAACAUAUAUUUUGAUAAAUAGAAUUGAAACUUGUCUCAUUAUGGUAAGUGGUGAAAUAAGUAUAGCCAGCUAUAAUUGUAAUGGCUUAGCAGAAAAUAAGAAAAGAUUAUCAGUAUUUACCUGGCUGACAGAGAAGGCAUAUAAUAUCUAUUGUUUACAGGAAACUCAUUCAACAAUUUUAGAUGAAGUUUUGUGGAAAAAGGACUGGGGGAGGGAAAUAUAUUUCUCCCAUGGGCAAAGAAAUUCAAAAGGGGUGAUGAUAUUAAUUAACAGUAAUUUUGAUCCAAAUGUGUAAAUUGUCCAAACAGAUCAUCAAGGUAGAUGGAUUAUUUUAAAUAUGUUAUUGGACAAUAAACAGAUUUGGCUUAUUAACCUAUACGGUUCAAAUUAUGAUCCAAGCUUCUUUGAAAAUAUAUAUAAGAAUUUAUCAAGUCUACAAGCAACACUAGACUAUUAUUAUGGUGGGAGAUUUUAAUACGGUUUUAAAUACCUCUACGGACCGGAAAGGAAAUCACACUACAAACUAUCACCCUCAGGCACUUAAGGAGAUCAUGAAUGUCAUGGAUAUAUUGGAAUUAGUGGAUAUAUGGAGGCUUAAAUACCCUGACCUAGUGAGAUAUACAUGGCGAAGGCUUAAUCAAGCUAGUCAUCUUGAUUACUUUCUUAUGUCAUUCUCUCUGGCACCAAAAGUUAAAAUACUGUUGAUAGUGGACAGAAUGUGGUAGGAUCAUCACAUAAUUGGCAUAUAUAUUACUCUUACAGAAUUUCCACGUGGGCGAGGAUAUUGGAAAUGUAAUCAAAGCCUAAUGGAUGAUAAAUUGUUUAGAACUAGGACAGAAGAAUUUAUAACAGACUUUUUCAGACAUAACAUAGGUACAGCAGAUCCCCUUAUUGUAUGGGACACUUUUAAAUGUGCCUUUAGAGGCCAUGCAAUUCAGUACUCAUCUAUAAAACAAAGCAAUUUAGAUCAAAAGAGUCCAUAUUAACAAAGAAAAUUGAAGGACUAACAGUACAGUUAGAUAGCAAUAAAAACGAUACCAUAGAGGUACAGAAUGAGAUGGAGGAACUUAUUCAAGAAAGAUCCAGUGUAAUAUUAUACAAAUAAAGCGAACUGGAUGGAAUAUGGGGAAAAAUGCACCAAAUUAUUUUUCAAUCUUCAACAUAGAAAUGCUACCAAAAAUAAUGUAUUGAAACUUGUUACACAUGGAGUCACGCAUGAUUCCCCGAAUGAUAUUUUGAAAGAGGAAGUAAAGUACUUUAAGAAUAUGUUUUCGUUUGCCUCCUCCAUCUCCACUAACCGAAUCUAAUUGUAUGGAUUCUCUUCCUAUUAAUAAUGUAAAAUUAACAUCUGUACAGAAAGACUCAUGUGAAGGCCAAAUUACAGAAGAGGAACUUCUUGAUGCAAUUAAAGCCUUUAAGUCUGGGAAAACUCCAGGGCUGGAUGGCAUAGCAGUGGAAGUAUACCAAACUUUUGAUGUACUCAGAGCACCAUUAUUAUCAUGUUUUAACCACUCCUAUAUAAAUGGUAGAUUAUCGGACAUGCAACAAGAAGGUCUGAUUUUAUUAUUACUGAAACAGGAUCCAAGUGGUACAUUUAAAGAUCAAGUCCAUUUAAACAAAUUGGAGGCCUCUUACACUUCAGUGUUGUUGUAAGGCCUGGGUGUCGGAGUGCGAAGUCAAGCGCAGGAAACAGCAGGUGCAAUAACAAAUGUUCUUUAAUGAACACGGAGAAACUAGGCCACCCGACUAACACACUGGGUGUACUCCUCAAACAACCCCAGACACGGGGGAAACGAACACAGUCCAGUAAACACGUAGAACGAAACAAACACCACUCUUACUAACAAACAAUCCCGCACAAAGAAACGUGCGGGCCGGCUGACUAAUAAGCCCAACUAAUUACACCCUAAUACAAAACAGGUGAACCCAAUAAACACAUAGGGAGGGGAAGAAAAGGAUCAGUGUCAGCUAAUAGGCCGGUGACGACGACCGCCGAGCGCCACCCGAACGGGAAGGAGAGCCUGCCUCGGUCGAAGUCGUGACAGUUGUCAUGCAAAAAUUCUAGCUAAAUGCUUGGCGCAUAGAAUUAAAAAGGUGUUGUUAGAUAUUAUUCAUCCUAAUCAGACAGAUUUUUUACAUGGACGAUACAUUGGAGAUAAUAUAAGACAAGUACUGGAAACAAUAUAAUACUAUGAAAUAUCAGGGACACCAGGCCUGGUUUUCAUAGCUGAUUUUGAAAAGGCUUUUGAUAAAGUACGACUGGAGUUUAUAUAUAAAUGCCUAGAAUAUUUCAAUUUUGGAGAAUCUCUGAUAAAAUGGGUUCAAGUUAUGUAUUGUAACCCUAGGUGUAAAAUAGUAAAUAAUGGCUACAUCUCAAGAAGUUUUAAACUGUCAAGAGGAGUAAAACAAGGUUGUUCACUAUUGGCAUAUCUAUUUAUUAUUGCCAUCGAAAUGUUAGCUGUUAAAAUUAGAUCCAACCAUCAUAUUAAGGGAUUCGAAAUCCGUGGCUUAAAAACUAAGGUGGCAUUGUACGCUGAUGAUUCAUGUUUUCUUUUAAAACCACAAUUAGAAUCCCUCCACAGCCUCAUAGAGGAUAUAGAUACUUUUGCUAACCUCUCUGGAUUAAAACCAAAUGAUUAUAAGUGUAGUAUAUUACGUAUUGGAUCACAAAAAAAUGACACUUUUACAUUACUGUGUAGUUUGCCAAUAAAAUUUGACGGGGAUGUGGACAUACUCUGUAUACAAAUCUCGAAAGAAAGAAAUGAUCUUACGCCAAUACAUUUUUAGGGAAAGUUAGCAAAAAUAGAUCUUGCUACCAUGGAAAGGAAAAUACCUGUCUAUUUGUGGAAAAAUCUCCCUGAUCUUUAGUCAUAUCACAGUUUACCUAUUUGCUUAUGGUUUUGCUUAAACCUAGUGACCUGCUUUUUAAAUUAUAUGAACAAAUAUUCAAUUUUAUUUGGAAUGGCAAGCCAGACAAAAUUAAAAGGGCUUAAUUAUAUAAUGAAUAUGAAUUCAGAGGGCAGAAAUGAUUAAAUAUUAAAACAUUAGACCUCUCACUAAAGGCAUCAGUCAUACAAAAGUUAUACUUAAAUCCGAAAUGGAUCUCUAGUAAAUUGGUAGGAAUGUCUCACCCCAUGUUCAAGAAUGGCCUUUUUCCCUUUAUUCAGAUUACAACUGCUCACUUUCGGUUGUUUGAAAACAAAAUAAUCUCCAAAAUAUCAUUCAUUUUUUUAACAAGCUUUAGAAAGUUGGUUGCAAUUUCAGUUUAAUCCACCUGAAAAGACAGAACAAAUAAUACAACAAAUAUUGUGGUUAAACUCAAAUAUACUAAUUGAUAAAAAAAACAACAUUUUUUGAUAACAUCAUAAAAAAAGGUAUAAUUUUUGUAAAUUAUAUCAUAAAUAGGACUGGUGGAGUUAUGUCACACAUGCAACUAACACAGACAUAUGGAAAUUACUGCUCUACCCAAAAGUACAAUUGCAACUAAUUGCAGCAUUACCACAAAAAUGGAAGAGGCAAGUAGAAGGGGGAAAAUGUAAGGAACUUGUCUGUUGGCCCUGCAUUAAAGACCAUAAAUGGUUGAAGAAAAUUGUGAUAAAUAAAAACAUAUACCAAUUUCAUUUCAGGACCAAAAAAUUGACAGCUGUGCCAUAUAAAUUGCUAAAUAGUUGGGAAGAGAUUUUCGAUGUACCCAUUCCAUGACACAUGGUUUAUGAAUUGACACGCAAAACAACGCCCGAUUCAAAACUUCAAAUUUUUCUAUUUAAAUUAUUAUACUAAAUUCUUGCAACCAAUAGAAUGUAAUAUAUAUGGGGAUACAAUCUUCCUACAUCUGCAGAUUUUGCUGUGAGGAGGCAGAGUCAUUAGAUCAUUUAUUUUGGUACUGUCCAUAUGUAGCUUGUUUUUGGUCACAGAUCCAGGAAUGGCUGAAGAAUUGCAACAUUUACCUAGAACUAACGCUGCAGAUAGCAAUACUGGGUGAUUUGAAAAGUCAUAAUCAAUCAAUAAUUUUAUAAUUAUUUUAGCAAAAAUUUGUAUCUUUAAUUUACAAUCUGUAGAAGCUAUGAGAAUAGAAAGGUUCAGUACUUUUGUGAAGCAUCACAGCACAGUUGAAAAAUAUGUCAAAUAGAAAUCCAAAAUGGAUGGUGUUAAGAGAUAGGUGGAAGGGGUUGAAUGGGGCUGAAGGGUGGGACUAAUAACAAGAUAACAAAUGUAAAACAUACGGGGUCUGUAAAAUGUAUAUAGGUUCAGCAGUUUUGUGAAAUGGCACAGUUACAAAUAGAAAUCAAACUGGAUGGACAUCAGAAAUAGAGGAAGGACUAAAAACAAACAAAAUAUAACUAUUGUAAAAUAGAUUGUCUGUAAAAUGUGUAUAAUAUAUAUAAACUGAAGGUAGAAGCCUAAGUGGUAUUGUUUAUUAGUUUACUCCAAUUGGGGAAGGGGUGGUAUGGUUUGCGGGGAAUAAUAAAGGUGUCACGUUCUGACCAUAGUUCCUUUUUUAUGUCUUUAUUUUGGUUUGGUCAGGGUGUGAGUUGGGGUGGGCAUUCUGUUGUUUUUCUAUGUUUUCCAUUUCUGUGUUUGGCCUGGUAUGGUUCUCAAUCAGAGGCAGCUGUCGAUCGUUGUCUCUGAUUGAGAAUCAUACUUAGGUAGCCUGUUUUCCUCAUUUUGGUUGUGGGUGAUUGUUUUCUGUUUUGUGCGUAUUCCUUACAGAACUGUUUCGUUUUCGCUCUUUAUUAUUUUUGUCAUUUUAGUGUUCAGUUUAUUUUGUUUAUUAAAAUGAACACUUUCCACGCUGCACCUUGGUCCUCUUCUCCUUCACCAGACGAAAGCCGUUACAAAAGGUAUAUUCUAAAAACAGUAUAUAUGUGUAUUAGAAGUCGACCGAUUAUGAUUUUUCAACGCCGAUACCGAUUAUUGGAGGACCUUAAAAGCCGAUACCGAUUAAUCGGACGAUUUUGAAAAAUAUAUUUGUAAUAAUGACAAUUACAACAGUACUGAAUUAACACUUAUUUUAACUUAAUAUAAUACAUCAAUAAAAUCAAUUUAGCCUCAAAUAAAUAAUGAAACAUGUUUAAAUAAUGCAAAACCUGCCUCCCGGGUGGCGCAGUGGUCUAGAGCACUGCGUCGCAGUCUCUGAGUUCUGAGUCUCUGAGUUCGCGCCCAGGCUCUGUUGCAGCCGGCCGCGACCGGGAGGUCCGUGGGGCGACGCACAAUUGGCCUAGCGUCGUCCGGGUUAGGCCGGUAGGGAUAUCCUUGUCUCAUCGCGCUCCAGCGACUCCUGUGGCGGGCCGGGCGCAGUGCGCGCUAACCGAGGGGGGCGGGUGCACGGUGUUUCCUCCGACACAUUGGUGCGGCUGGCUUCCGGGUUGGAGGCGCGCUGUGUUAAGAAGCAGUGCGGCUUGGUUGGGUUGUGCUUCGGAGGACGCAUGGCUUUCAACCUUCGUCUUUCCCGAGCCCGUACGGGAGUUGUAGCGAUGAGACAAGAUAGUAAUUACUAGCGAUUGGAUACCACGAAAAUUGGGGAGAAAAGGGGAUAAAAUGUAUUUAAAAAAUGAUACAAAAAUGGGCUCGAACCAGGAAUAUAGGCGGAGGUAGCGGUCCUGCUGCUGGGUUGUUGCCCUCCUACGGCCUCCUCCACGUCUCCUGAUGUACUGGCCUGUCUCCUGGUAGCGCCUCCAUGCUCUGGCAGACACAGCAAACCUUCUUGCCACAGCUCGCAUUGAUGUGCCAUCCUGGAUGAGCUGCACUACCUGAGCCACUUGUGUGGGUUGUAGACUCCGUCUCAUGCUACCACUAGAGUGAAAGCACCGCCAGCAUUCAAAAGUGACCAAAACAUCAGCCAGGAAACAUAGGAACUGAGAAGUGGUCUGUGGUCACCACCUGCAGAAUCACUCCUUUUUUGGGGGUGUCUUGCUAAUUGCCUAUAAUUUCCACCUUUUGUCUAUUCCAUUUGCACAACAGCAUGUGAAAUUUAUUGUCAAUCAGUGUUGCUUCCUAAGUGGACAGUUUGAUUUCACAGAAGUGUGAUUGACUUGGAGUUACAUUGUGUUGUUUAAGUGUUCCCUUUAUUUUUUUGAGCAGUGUAUAUGGAUAUAUGUAUGUAUAUGGGUAUAUAUAUAUUUACCCCAAAAAUAUGGGGGAUUGGAAUUGAUGCAGACAAUUACAUUGAUGGAAGCAACAAUCUUUCCUCAAUGUUUAAGCUGAUCCACCCCUAAAAAAAUAAAAUAAAAAAAGACAAAUGUUAGGUGAAUUUACAUAGCAGGUUAGGUGAAUUGAGUUAAGUUUAGAACAAGGGUUAGAGUUUGCAAAAAUGCUACAGUUGUCCCCGACAUGACCAGAACAUGCACAUUUUGGAUUGCUAGACUAUAGCGGAUUAUGCACACCCAUCCUUUCCGACAAACCUCCCUAAGGUUGCUUCUGUCUCAAGUAACUAGACCAUUUGUAGGUAUCAUACUUCUUGGAGGUGCUCAGAAAUAUGUAAAGUAGAUUUUGUAUUGCUCUAUAGCUAGGCUGUGCUAACAGGGCCAUGAUGUAAGUCUCUCACUCUUCCUCUCUCUUACAGGUGUGCCCAAAGUCCCAGGAGAAAGUAUAUGGGCUAUAUUAAACAAACCCAUACAGUUUUCUGGAUCCAGUAUACCUUUGAAACUAAUCAAAACAGUGGAAUGGCGUCACAAAAGUGGAAACUCACAGACAUUCUGUCUUCUUCAUAAAAUGGAUGGGAACAUCACCAACAUAUACCCUGCAUGCAAUGGCACUGCACGCUUCCUUUCCCACAAUAAAACCUUUGUUCUAUACUCAGUGAGGGCAGAGAAUGAAGGUGUCUAUGAAGAAAGAGUGAUUUAUAAGAAUAACACUAUGAUCACAUUAAAUAUAUCACUGUCAAUCAUUUGUAAGUACAGCAUAUUACCCUAACCCAUUUUUAUCUGUCUGUCUUUCUACACAGUAAUGCCAACUGUGCUUCAAAUUCAGUGGAAAUCCAUACAUAGAUAUAUGGAAAUCACUAAUGGAUAAAUCUAAGAUUGUAUUCAUGGAGAGCACAUGUCCAUAUAAUGGAAGUCACAAAAGUUUACCAGAAUAAAAAAAAAAGUCAGACACAUUACCUAUUGGAUUCAAAUUCAGAGAUUCACAACUGAUGAAUGUUUUGGUCUCUUUAGCUCCUCCCUCCACCCUGCACAUCAGCGUAAACUUCUCCCACACGCUGCUAACAAUGACCUGUGAGGUCAAGGGGUCAAACCUCUCCUAUUGGUGGCUGAAGGAUGACCAGCCCUUCCUCACGGAUUCCAGAUGGUUAUUGGGUGAGAGAAACCAAACCUUACAGGUGAACAACCUGACCAAGGCUGACUGUGGGAAAUACACCUGCUUGGUGGCCAACAAGGCAGGCCAGUCACAGGGCCACUUCCAACUCCCAGAUAACCAAUCCUCUGUGUGUAAUGAUGGAAUUGUCCGAGCCACACUGCUGAUAGGCCAGAGAGAAGUUAUAAUCAUGGUAAUAUUGGGCAUCUGCAUAUUUGGCCUGCUCAUCAUCAUUGCCUGCAUCAGGAGAUAUCACCAGGGUAGAAAUACAGAAGCAUCUGGCAGGACUUUGCAACAAGGAGCAGCAUCCUGUCAGAAACAGGAGAGGAAGGAGAAGAGACACCCCCGUGUCCAAAAAUCAUGUGUAUGAUGAGAUUGGAGAUGAACAGGAGCAGCUUGAACAAGAGGUGGUGAUCCCAUUGCCAUACGUCUACACAGACUUCCUUCCAAACAGAAAACAAGCAGAUCCCCAAAAGGACUUUGGGUACUCCACCAUCGGGCCAGCUAGCCUAAGCGGAGUCACAGUGAUCGAGGCAAGCGAACAAGGUCUUGAAUGUAGGUUCCUAGUGGAGACAGCGUAGCAUACUAAAAAUAUCUAAUAAAAUUGUAUUUGUCACAUGCGCCAAAUACAAUAGGUGUAGACUUUACCAUGGGAUGCUUAGUUACGAGUCCUUUCCCAACAAUGCAGAGUUAAAAAGUAAGACAAAUCUGCUAAAAAAAAGUAAAUAGUAACAAAAUAAAGACUAUAUACAAGGACAACCGGUACCGAGUCAAUGUGCAAGGGUAUGAGGUAGAGGUAUUUGAGUUAAUAUGUACAUGUAGGUAGAGGUAAAAGUGACUAGGCAAUCAGGAUAGAUAAUACACAGAGUAGUAGCAGCGUAUGUGAAGACUGUGAAAGAGUGUCUGUUCAGGAAGCCUUUUGGUCCCAGACUUGGUGCUCCGGUACUGCUUGCCAUGUUCCAAGUCUAUGAUUUGGGUGGCUGGAGUUUUUGACAAUUUUUAGGGCCUCCUUCUGACACCGCCUGGUAUAGAGGUCCUGGGUGGCAGGGAGCUUGGCCCCAGUGAUGUACUGGGCAAUAUGCACUACUCUCUGUACAUUUACAUUUAAGUAAUUUAGCAGACGCUCUUAUCCAGAGUGACUUACAAAUUGGAAGUAAACCUGGAGAGGUUUGGGGAGUAACGGAUUAUAAAUAAAACUAUAAUCCGUUACCAGCAAAUAUAUUGUAAUCAGAUUACAGAUCAUUUUUAAGAACUAGAGGAUUACUUUCAAAUUCAGAAAGGAUGUUUGCGCAAUAAAAUCAUUGACACUUCUGUUUUCUCAAUGACAUUCAAAUCAGCACUGAAAAAAGGUGCAAGUUUAAGUUUGUUCCACCUGAGCGAGUCUGACCACAAGUCAGGGUCCACUAUGAUGACACACCAAAUGUGUUUGAGAUAAAAGAUAUAGGAUAUCACUUAUUAUUGAAAUCUACAUAGUGCAUUGAUGUGAAUCACACUGCUGCUCUCUCAUUUAGCAAUUCUUCAAGAAUCAAUGGAUAUAUAAUUUAUAAUCCAAAAAUGGAUGUAGCAACUACACUAUACGACUUAAAGGGGCAAUCAAAAGUGUGCGAGUUUGAGCAUGUUAGCAAAGUUUUCAGUAUAAUUUACCUUUUACGCUCAAUAACUGGUUGUGCCACCUUUAGCUGCAAUGACUGCAACAAAACACUUAAUGUAGUUGUGGAUGAGUCAUAUCUCUGUGGAGACAUUUUGGGAACUGGCUUUAACUCGGCGGCAUUUGUGGUCUUUCAGGUCCUGGUUUUAGGCCUGAACUGUGACUAGGCCAUUCCAGAACUUUACAUUUGUUGCCUUUCAGCCAUUCGUGUGUGUUUUGGAUCUUUGUCUUGCUGAAUGACCUAGCUGUGCUUCAGCUCACAGAAAAAUGACCUGACAUUCUCCUUUAGAAUGAUCUAAAACAGAGAAUUAUUCAUGGUUCCUUCAAUGAUGGCAAGUGGUUCAAGUCUUGAGGCAGCAAAGCAUCCCCAAACCAUUACACUACAACCAACAUGCUUGACUGUUGGUUUAAGGUUCUUACUGUGGAAUGCAGAGUUUGGUUUCCAUCAGACCUAAUAUGACACGUCUUCCAAAAAGUUCCCCUUUUGACUCAUCUGUCCAUAGAACAUUCUUCCAGGAGUCUUGAUGAUCAUCCAGGUGCUUUUUGGCAAAAUUGAGUCAACUUUUUGGAUGAAUUGGGUCCCGAUAUGUCUGGCGAAAACCAAAACACUUCAUUCCACAGUAAGAACCUCAUACCAACGGUCAAGCAUGGUGAUCGCUGAGUUAAAGCAGUUCUACAUGGAAGUGGGCCAAAAUUCCUCCACAGGGAUGUGAGAGACUAACAACUACAGGAAGUGUUUGGUUAUAGUCAUUGAGUGUAAGGGGGAAAUAACUUUUUCACACAGGGGCAUUGGGUGUUGUAUAACUUUGUUAAUUAAAUUAAAGAAUGAUCAACAUUG